UGGGGAAUUUUGGACAAUGGGCGAAAGCCUGAUCCAGCAAUGCCGCGUGUGUGAAGAAGGCCUUCGGGUUGUAAAGCACUUUUGUCCGGAAAGAAAUCCUUGGCUCUAAUACAGUCGGGGGAUGACGGUACCGGAAGAAUAAGCACCGGCUAACUACGUGCCAGCAGCCGCGGUAAUACGUAGGGUGCAAGCGUUAAUCGGAAUUACUGGGCGUAAAGCGUGCGCAGGCGGUUUGCUAAGACCGAUGUGAAAUCCCCGGGCUCAACCUGGGAACUGCAUUGGUGACUGGCAGGCUAGAGUAUGGCAGAGGGGGGUAGAAUUCCACGUGUAGCAGUGAAAUGCGUAGAGAUGUGGAGGAAUACCGAUGGCGAAGGCAGCCCCCUGGGCCAAUACUGACGCUCAUGCACGAAAGCGUGGGGAGCAAACAGGAUUAGAUACCCUGGUAGUCCACGCCCUAAACGAUGUCAACUAGUUGUUGGGGACUUCAUUUCCUUAGUAACGUAGCUAACGCGUGAAGUUGACCGCCUGGGGAGUACGGUCGCAAGAUUAAAACUCAAAUGAAUUGACGGGGUCAUAGCUGUUUCCU
rnacentral:rRNA from 1 species